AUGAGGAAACCGGCGAGUUGAACUUAAGGGGCGACUUAAAGUCCCUGAUAUUUCAAAAGGAGUCCUAUUCUUACCGUCCCUUGAAACUACAACAUAGUGUGUGUCAUGACACCACGGCGUUGCAUUCAUUCAAACGAGAGGAGAGACCCUACAUCACACGCCACCUAUCUUCACGGGGAGGGAUAAUUGAGGCGCACCAAACGUGAGCAUCCUCUGGAAAACGUGAUCAAGUUUUUUUUUUCCUCUCUCUCUCUUCUUUUUUAUGAUCCGGGAGAAAUGAGCUGAGUCGGAUUACCUUGCAAUCCAAGCAAGGAUAAUAUUUGGAGGAAGUUGGAGCUCCCCCAGUCCUGCCCCAGCCUCCAGAGCCGUCACGACAAAAGGGGAUCGAGCGGAAAUCGUGCCGCAGCGGCUUGUGACCCUCAGCGUCCACAGCGCCGAAAUAUCUGCUUACUUACGUCUGAGUGUCUGCCAGCGCGUCUCUGUGAUUAUUCAUUCGCUCAUACGAACACCUUCGUUUUUUAUUACACACCAAUUACUGUAACACCGUCGUUUCGACUUGUACCUCUGUAUUCGUUUGCCUUUACUUGCAUUUAUUUAUUUAUUUAUUUAUUUUCCUAUUUAUUUGUUUGUUUAAUUAUUUAUAUUUAUUGUUGAUUUUGUUAUUUUAAUUUUUUGUAACGGGUUACAUUUUCGCGCUGUUUGUAAACUGAAACUAAAUGUGACGUAUUUCCCUUUUCUCUUGUUUCACAUUUUGAUGAUUACUUUUUUGUUUUGUUUUGCUUUGCUUGGCUUUGCUUUGUUUUGUUGUGUUUUGUUUUGCUGCGUUGUGUUUUAUUAGCCAUACCAGAAUUUGACUGCAUAUGACAGGUAAUGGCUCCGUGGUAGCCUAAUUAAGUUAAUUGCUGUAUAGUGCAAUUAUUUUAUCUAAAUAAUCAAAAAUUAAAUGAAUGUAAGGGGAGAUAGAAAUAUGUAAAAUAAAUUAAUUUAUAAUAUAUCUAAAAUGUGCAUCGUGACCUCGCGUGCACUGUUAAAUAUUGAGAGAAAUAUUGCUGAGCACCGUUACUGGCAAACGGGCGUGUUAUUACGUUAACGGGUGUGGUUGUAACUUAUUAUUUUGCCACUAUUAAUUACUCUAAAAGUAGAGUUAUCUCAGUUUACACGUGCCGAGCGCAGGCUCCACCUUUGAAACGCACUGAUUGGUUAUGUAAAUAAUGUGUUUUUUCCCCAUCUAGAUGCAGUGAUCUACUGUAUGGAUAAUUAAAUCAUCAAUCAAGGGGCUGGACUAUUUGAUGCUUUUGUUCAAAGCCAAUCGGCUUCCAAGUGACGGGUAAGCACAGAGCAAAGGAAAGAUGUUCAACAUCUGGAAAUCAGGAUUUUUCCAAUGGCUCUAGAUUAUUAACCAAUACUGAACUCGUGUCCCCGAGGACAUGCUUAUUUAAUAAUAUGUGAACAGCGUGUUUGCGGUCAAAACAUUAUUAUUAUUAUUAUUAUUAUUAUUAUUAUUAUUAUUAUUAUUAUUAUUAUUAUUGUUGUUGUUAUUGUUAUUAUUAUUAGGGGGUUCUGUAUGAAUUGAGUGUUUUAUUGCUUUUUAAAUAAAUAAGCGGCUAGUAAUAAUGCGGAAUGCUUACCAUGCUUUUAAAGUAAAACGGCUUAUUAUUAUUAUUAUUAUUAUUAUUAUUAUUAUUUCUAAAUAUUUUGCAAGAGGAUGACGGCACAUUUUGUCCUAUUUCCUUAUAUGUCUACUAAUUAUUACGCAGGCGUCCUGCGACAUUUUAAAUAAAACGUCAAUUACUUACCGCAACUUUAUGGUGAGUAUUCCUUGUUUCUCAUAUUAGGUUUUGCAGGAUUUUUUUGUAAAUAAGUUGUAUAGUACAACACAGGACAGAAAUCAUAAAUGUACUCCUCAGACUAAUUUCAUUCGCCAGAAUAUUGGUCAGGCACGAUGUCUGUAACGGGUUCUUCGCUGUAGGGAUUAGCACUGGUACUGACUAUCUGUGAUGGGUGUAUUAAUUCGUCUCUCAGGUGAUUGACACCCAUCGUUUUAAUAUUGUGCAUUGCCGAAAUGGCAUUGUAUAUGAACAUAUACCGGAAUAUUUAUAAAAAUGCAGCUAAAAAUUUAAUAACGAACGACGCAAAGUAAACCUGCAAACACGCGACUGUCUCUAAUGUCACCUGGAGUAAAGGCUGCCCUUUCAUUCGAACGGGAUGUUACCCUCGAAACACAGAUUAGUCAUUUGCUUUGGGUUCGUUUCACGGGCGUCCCAGGAGCGUUUUAUAAUGCCGUUACAAAGAUAAAACAGCAUAUUUUUCUUAAGUCAGGAAGAUUAAUUUCUACUCGAAUAAACAGCAAUACAAAUGCAAAUAGUUACAUUUUUAAUUAAAGUCGCCACCUCCGUUCUAUUUAUGAAGAGAAAACAAGUAAGCCCAGCAAAUGUGAUGAGUAGACAUAGAUAUUGUUUUGUGUGAAUGUAUGUGUAUUUUUGUAUACUUUUUGUAUAACAUGUAAUUGUACGUACACUGGUUAUUUAAAGUUUAAUGUGAUCCACGUAUGAUAUGCUGUUUUUACAUGUGCAAUAAUAAAACUACAUUCAGGCGAA